rnacentral:rRNA from 1 species
GGUUGACCUCGGAUCAGGUAGAGUACCCGCUGAA